rnacentral:rRNA from 1 species
GACAGAGGGUGCAAACGUUGUUCGGAAUUACUGGGCGUAAAGCGCGUGUAGGCGGCAGGGCAUGUCGGAUGUGAAAUCCCGUGGCUCAACCACGGAAGUGCACCCGAAACUGCCCAGCUUGAGUCUCGGAGAGGAAGGCGGAAUGCUUGGUGUAGAGGUGAAAUUCGUAGAUAUCAAGCGGAACACCGGUGGCGAAGGCGGCAUCCUGGACCGACACUGACGCUGAGGAGCGAAAGCCAGGGGAGCAAACGGG